rnacentral:sRNA from 1 species
UUACGUCGGUAAAUGAGGAAUACCAAGCUAAACAGAAUGCGGAUGUUAAUGU